rnacentral:rRNA from 1 species
UCUCACCGGGNAGCGACAGCAGUGUGAAGGCCAGAUUAAAGGUCUUGCCAGACGAGCUGAGAGGAGGUGCAUGGCCGUCGCCAGUUCGUGCCGUGAGGUGUCCUGUUAAGUCAGGCAACGAUCGAGACCCGCGUCCUCUGUUGCUACYGGYYUUGWGCUGGGCACACUGAGGAGACCGCCGCUGAUAAAGYGGAGGAAGGAGCGGGCCACGGCAGGUCAGUAUGCCCCGAAUCUCCCGGGCCACACGCGAGCUGCAAUGGCAGGUACAAUGGGUUCCGACCUCGAAAGGGGAAGGCAAUCUCNAAAGCCUGCCGUANUUGGGAUCGAGGGUUGWANCCCAYCCUCGUGAACAUGGAAUCCCUAUUAAUCGCGUGUC